UCCUAGCUAUUCUGCCAAUAUAAAAUGAAGCUAUAGAGUUAUCGGGAAAGAAGGGUUUUACUAAUUUGCAUUUUCCGCGAAUGCAGGCACACCCCAUUGUUUGAUACUAUAAAUAAAUUCAGAGAACUAUAGAUUCACCUCUUCGAAAAUGGCGAAUCAGCAACAAACACAGAGCCGUCUUGAAACAGUACCUCUUUUGGUGGUCAUACUUAUCGGUGCCCAUGUCCUCGCUUUGGUGUACUGGAUUUAUCGACUAGCAAAUCAGAAGCAACCCCCGAGGCUUAAAAAGCACUAGGAUUCAGUUAUUUUUUCUGUCCUAUGUCACUCUCUUCCUGUUGAAAUUUUAUGUUUGGGUAUCUUUGAAUUGCUUGAGAUUUCAGUUGUUGAAAGUUGAAUGGGGAUAUUUAGUUGUAUAUUUUUGUGCUUCAACUUGUACUGGGGUGGAAUCCCUUUUUACAACAAUCUCACUUUUGGUUAAUGAUAAGCAACUUUAGGUAUUAAAAUUUCUUGAGAA